GUAUUAUUGUCAAGGAAAUCACCUUGCCAUCUUCAAGGAGUAUCUUAUCAUCCAUAGGCAGAAUGCUAUUGUUAGCAUGGUCACCAUUGAGAAUAUCCCAAUCGCGAAUGCCAGAAGAAUCUUUAAUGGUGAGGAGACAGGUCAUGGUGAUCGCUCUUACGCCAGUGCGGUUAAAUCUCGUCCAAUACCUUCGUCAGCUUGUGUCUAAUCGAAUGAUUUUCUGAGUCAUCAAUACGAUCGCCGCGCUUCUUGCUCGGAGGGCCCGAAAUCACUUCGUGAGAGGCGGGAGAUUUAUGAAGGAGGCGCUCAUUGAGAUGCCCUAUGAGCUCGGUAGAAGUGCAUUCCCUUCAGGUAACGGAGUGGCGUUUUGAGGAAGUCCGUCUUCGCAGCAAAGUUUUCAAGCGCGCGACCACCACUGGCAGCAGACAUUCGAUUUGAGGGAGAGAGGAGAGGGAUGGUAAUAAACAAAGCAAUUGGAACAGGCACUACGCAGACAUUAAAUUAUCAGAUCACCUCAAUGGCUCAGUAUAAGCCAGUUUGUCUGCGGGGUCAAUAAAAGAAGAAGAAGAAGAAGAAGAAGAAGUCGUCAACUUUAACGCUUAAUAUCUUAGUUCGCGAGGCAGAGCGACACUUUUUUCGGUAAUUAUACUGAAGGUGCCGCAGCUUAAAAAUCAAUAAAAUUAGUCUUAUUCGACGCGUUUUUGCAUCAAACGAACAAAUCUGACAGAAAA